GGCGGCGUGCCUAAUACAUGCAAGUAGAACGCUGAAGAGAGGAGCUUGCUCUUCUUGGAUGAGUUGCGAACGGGUGAGUAACGCGUAGGUAACCUGCCUUGUAGCGGGGGAUAACUAUUGGAAACGAUAGCUAAUACCGCAUAACAAUGGAUGACACAUGUCAUUUAUUUGAAAGGGGCAAUUGCUCCACUACAAGAUGGACCUGCGUUGUAUUAGCUAGUAGGUGAGGUAACGGCUCACCUAGGCGACGAUACAUAGCCGACCUGAGAGGGUGAUCGGCCACACUGGGACUGAGACACGGCCCAGACUCCUACGGGAGGCAGCAGUAGGGAAUCUUCGGCAAUGGGGGCAACCCUGACCGAGCAACGCCGCGUGAGUGAAGAAGGUUUUCGGAUCGUAAAGCUCUGUUGUAAGUCAAGAACGAGUGUGAGAGUGGAAAGUUCACACUGUGACGGUAGCUUACCAGAAAGGGACGGCUAACUACGUGCCAGCAGCCGCGGUAAUACGUAGGUCCCGAGCGUUGUCCGGAUUUAUUGGGCGUAAAGCGAGCGCAGGCGGUUUGAUAAGUCUGAAGUUAAAGGCUGUGGCUCAACCAUAGUUCGCUUUGGAAACUGUCAAACUUGAGUGCAGAAGGGGAGAGUGGAAUUCCAUGUGUAGCGGUGAAAUGCGUAGAUAUAUGGAGGAACACCGGUGGCGAAAGCGGCUCUCUGGUCUGUAACUGACGCUGAGGCUCGAAAGCGUGGGGAGCGAACAGGAUUAGAUACCCUGGUAGUCCACGCCGUAAACGAUGAGUGCUAGGUGUUGGAUCCUUUCCGGGAUUCAGUGCCGCAGCUAACGCAUUAAGCACUCCGCCUGGGGAGUACGACCGCAAGGUUGAAACUCAAAGGAAUUGACGGGGGCCCGCACAAGCGGUGGAGCAUGUGGUUUAAUUCGAAGCAACGCGAAGAACCUUACCAGGUCUUGACAUCCCGAUGCUAUUUCUAGAGAUAGAAAGUUACUUCGGUACAUCGGUGACAGGUGGUGCAUGGUUGUCGUCAGUUCGUGUCGUGAGAUGUUGGGUUAAGUCCCGCAACGAGCGCAACCCCUAUUGUUAGUUGCCAUCAUUCAGUUGGGCACUCUAGCGAGACUGCCGGUAAUAAACCGGAGGAAGGUGGGGAUGACGUCAAAUCAUCAUGCCCCUUAUGACCUGGGCUACACACGUGCUACAAUGGUUGGUACAACGAGUUGCGAGUCGGUGACGGCAAGCUAAUCUCUUAAAGCCAAUCUCAGUUCGGAUUGUAGGCUGCAACUCGCCUACAUGAAGUCGGAAUCGCUAGUAAUCGCGGAUCAGCACGCCGCGGUGAAUACGUUCCCGGGCCUUGCACACACCGCCCGUCAA
rnacentral:rRNA from 1 species